AAUACUUUCUACAACACAUUAAUAUAAUUUUAUUUAAAAAGUAUUAUAAUUUAUAAUAUAAAAAAGCAGUAAAGUGAAAAUUGGAAAAACAAAUGGCGGGCCUUAAAAAAUUAUCAGCGGCAAACUAAAAAUGUGUUAUAUUUAUUCUCCAAUUCUCAAUUUUCUCAUUCUUUCUUGUCACUAAAUAACUCUUUGUCUAUAACUCUUCUCUCUCCUUCGCAUCCUUCCUCUCUUCUUCUAUCUCAUUAUUUCUUUCUUUUUUCUUCUUUUUCUUGUAGGUUUCUUAACUGAUUGCUUUCUUUUUUAAUUUUCAAAGUCUCACUACAUUCAGAUUAUGGUUGGAAAAAUUCCUUUAGGGCUUGAUUUGACCUUGCAAAGAAAGGAAAAGAUCUCUAGAGAAGUGGGUUUGAGGUGUUAAUUGCAGCAGCAAGGUUUGGGCUUUUGGACUGUAGUGGAUGGAUUUGUACGUUAGGUCUUGGCUUAAUAAACUAGCACCAUUUUUAUAGAUCUACUCCUAUUUAUAUUUCCUUGCUCUAUCCUUAUUCCAUUUCAGAUGAAGGGGAUGUGAAUGAGUACAACUUGAAACAAACGGGAAGGAGUCCAAUUCGUACAAUACGAAUUUUUUUAAAUGGUCAUUGAAAUUACUCUGAUGCAAAAGUUCCACACCUUGUCUAUGGUAUAAUGAGAUUGAUUUUUUUGAAGCAAAAAUGAGCAAAUUUGUGGAUGAGUUCAUUAGAAUCAAAUAAUCUUUUUUCUUAACUUUGUAGAUUAUAUAGAAUUCUAAUUUUGUAGAAUUUAUUUUGUAAUAUGAUUUUAGAAGCCUAAACUAGACUAAAUAUUGUAAAUCUAUUCAAGCAAUUCAUAAACAUUUCUUUA